CCUACGGGUGGCAGCAGUGAGGAAUAUUGGUCAAUGGCCGGAAGGCUGAACCAGCCAAGUCGCGUGAGGGACGAAUGCCCAGUGGAUUGUAAACCUCUUUUAUAAGGGAAGAAUAAAUGCUACGUGUAGCAUGAUGCAUGUACCUUAUGAAUAAGCAUCGGCUAACUCCGUGCCAGCAGCCGCGGUAAUACGGAGGAUGCGAGCGUUAUCCGGAUUUGUUGGGUUUAAAGGGUGCGCAGGCGGUUUGUUAAGUUAGUGGUUAAACGUCGGGGCUUCACCUUGAUUUGCCAUUAAUACUGGAAGACUCGAGUUCAAACGAGGUAUGCGGAAUACGUUGAGUAGCGGUGAAAUGCUUAGAUAUA
rnacentral:rRNA from 1 species